rnacentral:rRNA from 1 species
AACGAACGCUGGCGGCAUGCCUACCACAUGCAAGUCGAACGAAGCCUUCGGGCUUAGUGGCGCACGGGUGCGUAACACGUGGGAAUCUGCCCUUAGGUACGGAAUAACUCAGGGAAACUUGAGCUAAUACCGUAUGAUGUCUUCGGACCAAAGAUUUAUCGCCUAAGGAUGAGCCCGCGUCGGAUUAGCUAGUUGGUGGGGUAAAGGCCUACCAAGGCGACGAUCCGUAGCUGGUCUGAGAGGAUGAUCAGCCACACUGGGACUGAGACACGGCCCAGACUCCUACGGGAGGCAGCAGUGGGGAAUAUAGGACAAUGGGCGAAAGCCUGAUCCAGCAAUGCCGCGUGAGUGAAGAAGGCCUUCGGGUUGUAAAGCUCUUUUACCCGGGAAGAUAAUGACUGUACCGGGAGAAUAAGCCCCGACUAACCCCGUGCCAGCAGCCGCUGUAA